UACGUAGGGUGCAAGCGUUAAUCGGAAUUACUGGGCGUAAAGCGUGCGCAGGCGGUUUUGUAAGACAGAUGUGAAAUGCCCGGGCUUAACCUGGGAACUGCAUUUGUGACUGCAUGGCUAGAGUUUGGCAGAGGGGGGUAGAAUUCCACGUGUAGCAGUGAAAUGCGUAGAUAUGUGGAGGAACACCGAUGGCGAAGGCAGCCCCCUGGGUCAAGACUGACGCUCAUGCACGAAAGCGUGGGGAGCAAAAAGG
rnacentral:rRNA from 1 species